CAGUCGCCGCGGUAAUACGUAGGGGGCAAGCGUUAUCCGGAUUUACUGGGUGUAAAGGGAGCGUAGACGGCAAAUAAAGUCUGAAGUGAAAACCCGCAGCUCAACUGCGGAGUUGCUUUGGAAACUUAUAAACUGGAGUGUCGGAGGGGUAAGCGGAAUUCCCAGUGUAGCGGUGAAAUGCGUAGAUAUUGGGAGGAACACCGGAGGCGAAGGCGGCUUACUGGAAGAUAACUGACGUUGAGGCUCGAAGGCGUGGGUAGCAAACAGGAUUAGAUACCCUUGUAGUCCCUGUCUCUUAUAA
rnacentral:rRNA from 1 species